GAUGAACGCUGGCGGUGUGUCUAAGGCAUGCAAGUCGAGCGAGACGGUCUGCUGUAGCAAUACAAUGGAUCGUCUAGCGGCAAACGGGUGAGUAACACAUUGGUAACCUGCCUCCGAGACGGGCACAACACUGCGAAAGCGGUGCUAAUUCCCGAUGGCCUCUUCGGUGAGAAUCCGAAAGAGUAAACGCCCAAAAGGCGCUCGGAGAGGGGCCUAUGGCCAUCAGCUAGUUGGUGCGGUAAUGGCGCACCAAGGCGACGACGGGUAGCAGGCGUGAGAGCGCGACCUGCCUCAGUGGGACUGCGACACUGCCCANACUCCUACGGGAGGCUGCAGUCGAGAAUAUUCCACAAUGGGGAAACCCUGAUGGAGCGACACGCGUGGGGAUGAAGCCU
rnacentral:rRNA from 1 species